rnacentral:rRNA from 1 species
CGCGUGUACUGGUCCGGCCGGGCCUUUCCCUCUGUGGAACCCCAUGCCCUUCACUGGGUGUGGCGGGGAAACAGGACUUUUACUGUGAAAAAAUUAGAGUGCUCCAGGCAGGCCUAUGCUCGAAUACAUUAGCAUGGAAUAAUAGAAUAGGACGUGUGGUUCUAUUUUGUUGGUUUCUAGGACCGCCGUAAUGAUUAAUAGGGACAGUCGGGGGCAUCAGUAUUCAAUUGUCAGAGGUGAAAUUCUUGGAUUUAUUGAAGACUAACUACUGCGAAAGCAUUUGCCAAGGAUGUUUUCAUUAAUCAGGAACGAAAGUUAGGGGAUCGAAGACGAUCAGAUACCGUCGUAGUCUUAACCAUAAACUAUGCCGACUAGGGAUCGGACGGUGUUAUAUUUUGACCCGUUCGGCACCUUACGAGAAAUCAAAGUGCUUGGGCUCCAGGGGGAGUAUGGUCGCAAGGCUGAAACUUAAAGAAAUUGACGGAAGGGCACCACCAGGGGUGGAGCCUGCGGCUUAAUUUGACUCAACACGGGGAAACUCACCAGGUCCAGACACAAUGAGGAUUGACAGAUUGAGAGCUCUUUCUUGAUUUUGUGGGUGGUGGUGCAUGGGCCGUUCUUAGUUGGUGGAGUGAUUUGUCUGCUUAAUUGCGAUAACGAACGAGACCUUAGCCUGCUAAAUAGCCCGUAUUGCUUUGGCAGUACGCUGGCUUCUUAGAGGGACUAUCGG